rnacentral:misc_RNA from 1 species
GCACCUACCGAUUGAAUGGUUCGGUGAAAAUCUCGGACUGCGGCUUGGAUGCCUUCGGGCAACCAAGCUGUGGAAAGUUGUUUAAACCUCAUCAUUGAGAGGAAGGUGAAGUCGUAACAAGGUUUCCGUAGGUGAACCUGCAGAAGGAUCAACAGCGGAGCCAACAACAUCAGAACUCCAGUCACGUGGCCCAACACAGCAUACCGUCUCACGCUUCAAAAAAAAAAGACAACACACACAUAAGAAACGACAACGCACACCAAGCACUGUAGCAAA